rnacentral:rRNA from 1 species
AUUGAACGCUGGCGGCAUGCCUUACACAUGCAAGUCGAACGGUAACAGGUCUUCGGUUGCUGACGAGUGGCGAACGGGUGAGUAAUACAUCGGAACGUGCCCAGACGUGGGGGAUAACGAGGCGAAAGCUUUGCUAAUACCGCAUACGAUCUAAGGAUGAAAGCAGGGGACCGCAAGGCCUUGCGCGUUUGGAGCGGCCGAUGGCAGAUUAGGUAGUUGGUGGGAUAAAAGCUUACCAAGCCGACGAUCUGUAGCUGGUCUGAGAGGACGACCAGCCACACUAGGACUGAGGCACGGCCCAGACUCCUACGGGAGGCAGCAGUGGGGAAUUUUAGACAAUGGGCGAAAGCCUGAUCCAGCAAUGCCGCGUGCAGGAUGAAGGCCUUCGGGUUGUAAACUGCUUUUGUACGGAACGAAAAGGCUCUGGCUAAUACCUGGGGCACAUGACGGUACCGUAAGAAUAAGCACCGGCUAACUACGUG